GUGGGGAAUCUUCCGCAAUGGACGAAAGUCUGACGGAGCAACGCCGCGUGAGUGAAGAAGGUUUUCGGAUUGUAAACCUCUGUCCUUGGUGACGAAGGAAGUGACGGUAGCCAAGGAGGAAGCCCCGGCUAACUACGUGCCAGCAGCCGCGGUAAUACGUAGGGGGCAAGCGUUGUCCGGAAUGACUGGGCGUAAAGGGCGUGUAGGCGGCCGAUUAAGUCUGGAGUGAAAGUCCUGCUUUCAAGGUGGGAAUUGCUUUGGAGACUGGUUGGCUUGAGUGCGGAAGAGGUAAGUGGAAUUCCCAGUGUAGCGGUGAAAUGCGUAGAGAUUGGGAGGAACACCAGUGGCGAAGGCGACUUACUGGGCCGUAACUGACGCUGAGGCGCGAAAGCGUGGGGAGCGAACAGGAUUAGAAACCCGAGUAGUCC
rnacentral:rRNA from 1 species